rnacentral:rRNA from 1 species
AUUGAACGCUGGCGGCAGGCCUAACACAUGCAAGUCGAGCGAGCGGCGGACGGGUGAGUAAUGUCUGGGAAACUGCCUGAUGGAGGGGGAUAACUACUGGAAACGGUAGCUAAUACCGCAUACCAUCAGAUGUGCCCAGAUGGGAUUAGCUGGUAGGUGGGGUAACGGCUCACCUAGGCGACGAUCCCUCGCUGGGCUGAGAGGAUGACCAGCCACCCUGGAACUUAGCCAAGGUACAGACUCCUACGGGAGGCAGCAGUGGGGAAUAUUGCACAAUGGGCGCAAGCCUGAUGCAGCCAUGCCGCGUGUGUGAAGAAGGCCUUCGGUUUGUAAAGCACUUUCAGCGGGGAGGCGUUACCCGCAGAAGAAGCACCGGCUAACUCCGUGCCAGCAGCCGCGGUAAUUC